GCAGUGCCUGCCCACCAGACACAACCACCUUCCUCCAGGCUCCGGGCUGUGAGCAGAGCACAGCGUGGCUCAGGGAGGUGGCUGGGCCCAAGAGCCAAGGCUGGUGAGAAAGGGAAGGAGAAAUCUCAGUUGCUCCCAGUUUCUUAGGAUCCAGGAACUUGCCCCUUGCAGGAAACCCUCAUGCAUCUCCAAGGCAUCAGUGUGUUGAACUCUAGAGGGAGCGCCCGGCUCAUGGGCUUGGAGAGGAAGGGGCCAAGGAGUGGCCCAAGGGCUCUUAGCUGUAGAAGGCCUCAAGGCAGUGCCCACUCCACCCCCAUGUGGUUUCACAAACAGGAAGUGGCUGAGCUGUGUUCGAGGUAGGCUUGGCCAGGAGCUUCUUGUCCUUGCCAGGACUUCCGGUGGUGGGACAGAAAGCCACAGGAGAGGGCCAAAGCCCCACCAUGGACAUCCUGCAGCACAUCAGAAAAUACAGCCUGACUUGGGUGUGGACCUUCUGGAAGCUGGGCUGCUACCAGCAGGAACAUUUUAUGCUCUGCUUCUCUGACCCCAUAAAGCCACCCUUUGACAAGCUGAUCUUGAAUGACACCAAGAAGGCUGGACUGGAGCCUCAAGUACAUGUCACACAACUGAAAACUGUGUCUCCAAGCCAGAUGGGAGGGGUCCCCAUGGAGCCAUCAGUCCGCCGUGGAGCCUGUCAGUUCACAGGACGCAUGACAACCAGACCCACCCACAGUGACUGACCAGAGGGGACAGCUGAGCAGUUAGGGGCCACCAUCCCACAGGUGGUGCUUCAUUACCGGGACACAGGAGGUCAGGGCAUUAUUGCCUUCCACUUCCAGAGAAAAGUUCAAGGUCCUGUAAACCUGUCCAUUCUGAUAUGACCCAUGUAAAAAGAGCAAAAUCCAGGAAAAAAUAAUGUGUACUCAGCCAGCUGCAUUAUAGCUUUCACAGAGAACUUCUAAAGACACCGAUUUCUACUUGACCCUGAGAUAGUGUUCCCAUAUUCCAGAGGAGAACAGCAAGACUCAGAGAGAUUAAAUGAUUAUUCAGAUGUGUCAGAAGCAGAUAUGGAACUCAGUAUCUUGCUGUUAUAUGAUUUUGGGUUUUUUUUUUUUUUUUUAAACAACACACUGCUUCGAAGGUCCUCAGAGGGGAGAAGCUAGUUACAGGUUUAACUUGUUGGCACUUAAUGCCAGAUAAGGGAAAAGAGCAAGCAAGCAAACAAAAACCUUGAUGUUAUUUGAACACCCUUUUACAAAACCAAGGAAUGUUCUGAGCAAUGGCCAUACCCUCUUCCUGGUAUGAUUAUCUUGGACCCUGAGGGGAUCUGCAAGAUGUAGCGGCUUCCCAAGACUCUAUGAGGUACAGGUGACGUAUGUAGGAGAAGGUUGGAGCCUCAGAGAGGGGCCUGACAGGUUCACAAGCGCUAGCCACUGGAAGGCAGCUUUGCAGGGGACAGAGCCCAGCAGGUCAGCUGACUCGUGGGUCACCCCAGGCUAGUCACUGAUGGGCCACUGUCCUUGCCUGUUCACCCAGGAGUACAGCAGGGAAUCUCACAGAAGUGGGGGAGCUGAAAGAAAUGGGGAUGGAGUGUCAUCAAGAAACUGGCCUCUCUGGACAGUGGUGCAGCGGUUGAGCACCUGCCUUCGGCUCAGGGCAUCAUCCUGGAGACCCAGGAUCGAGUCCCGCAUUGGGCUUCCUGCGGGGAGCCUGCUUCUCCCUCUGCCUAUGUCUCUGCUUCUCUCUGUGUCCCUCAUGAAUAAAUAAAUAAAAUCUUAAAAACA
rnacentral:lncRNA from 12 species